rnacentral:rRNA from 1 species
AUUGAACGCUGGCGGCAGGCCUAACACAUGCAAGUCGAGCGGAUGAAGGGAGCUUGCUCCUGGAUUCAGCGGCGGACGGGUGAGUAAUGCCUAGGAAUCUGCCUGGUAGUGGGGGAUAACGUCCGGAAACGGGCGCUAAUACCGCAUACGUCCUGAGGGAGAAAGUGGGGGAUCUUCGGACCUCACGCUAUCAGAUGAGCCUAGGUCGGAUUAGCUAGUUGGUGGGGUAAAGGCCUACCAAGGCGACGAUCCGUAACUGGUCUGAGAGGAUGAUCAGUCACACUGGAACUGAGACACGGUCCAGACUCCUACGGGAGGCAGCAGUGGGGAAUAUUGGACAAUGGGCGAAAGCCUGAUCCAGCCAUGCCGCGUGUGUGAAGAAGGUCUACGGAUUGUAAAGCACUUUAAGUUGGGAGGAAGGGCAGUAAGUUAAUACCUUGCUGUUUUGACGUUACCAACAGAAUAAGCACCGGCUAACUUCGUG